rnacentral:rRNA from 1 species
GAAUUUUGGCAAAGGGCCGAAAGCUGAACCCGCAAAUGCCCCGGGAGGGAUAAAGGCUUUCGGGUUGAAACCUCUUUUUGACGGGAACGAAAAGCUUGGGUUAAAACCCAUGGCGUAAUGCCGGUACCGUAAGAAUAGCCACCGCCUACCAACGUGCAGGCAGCCGCGGUAAUACGUAGGUUGCAAGCGUUAAUCGGAAUUACUGGGCGUAAAGCGUGCGCAGGCGGUUUUGUAAGACAGAGGUGAAAUCCCCGGGCUCAACCUGGGAACUGCCUUUGUGACUGCAAGGCUAGAGUACGGCAGAGGGGGGUGGAAUUCCGCGUGUAGCAGUGAAAUGCGUAGAUAUGCGGAGGAACACCGAUGGCGAAGGCGACCCCCUGGGCCUGUACUGACGCUCAUACACGAAAGCGUGGGGAGCAAACA